rnacentral:rRNA from 1 species
UAAGCGGUUGAAGGUGUGUGGUAACGCAUGCUGGACGUAUCAGAAGUGCGAAUGCUGACAUGAGUAACGAUAAAGGGGGUGAAAAACCUCCUCGCCGGAAGACCAAGGGUUCCUGUCCAACGUUAAUCGGGGCAGGGUAAGUCGACCCCUAAGGCGAGGCCGAAAGGCGUAGUCGAUGGGAAACGGGUUAAUAUUCCCGUACUUCUUACAAUUGCGAUGGGGGGACGGAGAAGGCUAGGUGGGCCUGGCGACGGUUGUCCAGGUUCAAGUGCGUAGGCUUAAGAGUUAGGUAAAUCCGGCUCUUUUUAA